rnacentral:rRNA from 1 species
AUUAACGCUAGCGGCAGGCAUAAUACAUGCAAGUUGAACGGCAGCACAGGUAGCAAUACCGGGUGGCGAGUGGCGCACGGGUGCGUAACACGUAUGCAACCUACCCUAUACAGGCGAAUAACCUUUAGAAAUGAGGGCUAAUACGCCGUGGUAUUAUCUUGGGGCAUCUUGAGAUAAUUAAAGAUUUAUCGGUAUAGGAUGGGCAUGCGUCCCAUUAGUUAGUUGGUAGGGUAACGGCCUACCAAGGCGAUGAUGGGUAGG